rnacentral:lncRNA from 1 species
GGGGAUUCCGGGAUGGAGCCGAAGAGACAAGAUCAUCGACGACCUCGUUGGCUAGACUCGCCUCGUUGAGAAGGCAUGAAUGAAAAGAUGAAGCAGGUUGAGGUUGAGGAAGUCCAAGUUGCAGAACUUUGGAGCGAUGAACUGGUACUUAGGGUUUGACAUUUUCAUCUGAGGCAAAAGUUCUUUUAAGUUUUGAUUUGGG